UACGGAGGGGGCGAGCGUUGUUCGGAAUUACUGGGCGUAAAGGGCGCGCAGGCGGUUCUUCAAGUCAGAUGUGAAAAGCCCCGGGCUCAACCUGGGGAAUUGCAUUUGGGACUGGGGGAACUAGAGUUCGGGAGAGGUGGGUGGAAUUCCCAGUGUAGAGGUGAAAAUUCGUAGAUAUUGGGGAAGAACACCGGUGGUGAAGGCGGCACGCUGGACCUUUUUCUGACGCUGAGGCGCGAAAAGCGUGGGGGAGCAAACAGG
rnacentral:rRNA from 1 species